rnacentral:rRNA from 1 species
UGGCUACAGAACGAACGCUGGCGGCGCGCCUAACACAUGCAAGUCGAACGAGAAUCCGGGGCAACCCGGUAGUAAAGUGGCAAACGGGUGAGGAAUACAUGGGUAACCUACCCUUGAGAAGGGAAUAACCCGCCGAAAGGUGAGCUAAUACCCUAUACGCUAUCUUUUUUUCGAAAAGGAUAGGAAAGCCGGGUCGAGGACCUGGUACUCAAGGAGGGGCUCAUGUCCUAUCAGCUUGUUGGUGGGGUAACGGCCUACCAAGGCUACGACGGGUAGCUGGUCUGAGAGGAUGAUCAGCCACACUGGCACUGAGAUACGGGCCAGACUCCUACGGGAGGCAGCAGUGAGGAAUAUUGCGCAAUGGGCGAAAGCCUGACGCAGCGACGCCGCGUGGGGGAUGAAGGUUUUCGGAUUGUAAACCCCUUUCAUGAGGAAAGAUAAAGUGGGUAACCACUUAGACGGUACCUCAAGAAGAAGCCACGGCUAACUUCGUG